GGGUGUGAAUAUACCAGCACUAAUGCACCGGAUCCCAUCAGAACUCCGAAGUUAAACGUGCUUGGGCGAGAGUAGUACUAAGAUGGGUGACUUCUUGGGAAGUUCUCGUAUUGCACCCC
rnacentral:rRNA from 1 species